GAGACUACCGCUAUUGGAGUUCGAUUAAGCCAUGCGAGUCGCGAGAAAUUAGAUUCUCGGCGUACCGCUCAGUAACACGUGGGUAACCUGCCCUAUGCUGGAUAAUAACCUCGGGAAACUGAGUAUAAUGAUCCAUAGUUCACUACGCCUGGAACGGUGAGUGGACGAAAGCUCCGGCGGCAUAGGAUGGGCCUGCGGCGUAUCAGGUUGUAGGGGGUGUAACGUACCCUCUAGCCCUCUACGCGUACGGGUGUUGGGAGACAUAGCCCGGAGAUGGAUUCUGAGACACGAAUCCAGACCCUACGGGGUGCAGCAGGCGCGAAAACUUGGCAAUGCGAGAAAUCGUGACCAGGGAACUCCAAGUGCAUCGGGUAAGACCGGUGCUUUUCUUGACUCUAAAUAGGUCUUGGAAUAAGGGGUGGGUAAGGACGGUGCCAGCCGCCGCGGUAAUACCGGCGCCUCAAGUGGUAGUCGCUUUUAUUGGGCCUAAAACGUCCGUAGCCGGUCUGAUACAUUCGUGGGUAAAUCAACCAGCUCAACUGGUUGAAUUCUGCGAGGACGGUCAGACUUGGGACCGGGAGAGGUGUGGGGUACCGCUCAGGGUAGGGGUAAAAUCCUGUCAUCCUGAGCGGACCACCUGUUGCGAAGGCGCCACACUAGAACGGAUCCGACGGUCAGGGACGAAGCCUAGGGGCACGAACCGGAUUAGAUACCCGGGUAGUCCUAGGUGUAAACGCUGUGGACUUGAUGUUGGGGGUGCUCCGAGCACUCUCAGUGUCGAAGCGAAGGUGAUAAGUCCACUGCCUGGGAAAUACG
rnacentral:rRNA from 1 species